rnacentral:rRNA from 1 species
GAUGAACGCUGGCGGCGUGCCUAAUACAUGCAAGUCGAGCGAACAGAUGAGGAGCUUGCUCCUCUGACGUUAGCGGCGGACGGGUGAGUAACACGUGGAUAACCUACCUAUAAGACUGGGAUAACUUCGGGAAACCGGAGCUAAUACCGGAUAAUAUAUUGAACCGCAUGGUUCAAUAGUGAAAGACGGUUUUGCUGUCACUUAUAGAUGGAUCCGCGCCGCAUUAGCUAGUUGGUAAGGUAACGGCUUACCAAGGCAACGAUGCGUAGCCGACCUGAGAGGGGGAUCGGCCACACUGGAACUGAGACACGGUCCAGACGCCUACGGGAGGCAGCAGUAGGGAAGCUUCCGCAAUGGGCGAAAGCCUGACGGAGCAACGCCGCGUGAGUGAUGAAGGUCUUCGGAUCGUAAAACUCUGUUAUUAGGGAAGAACAAAUGUGUAAGUAACUAUGCACGUCUUGACGGUACCUAAUCAGAAAGCCACGGCUAACUACGUG